CCAGGAGGAAGGGGGAACUGUUAGCAGUGUAGGAUUGAGGAGUUAGAAGAGACCUUUAGAACAGCUGAUCAUUAUGCUGACUGGGUGUCCACACCAAGUUUGCCAUCAAUAUGGUGACCUCCUGGGAGCAGGGGACCACCAGGUUGCCUAAGGAGGGUGAACUGCCUCAGGUCAGAAGUGGAGCAGGUGAGAACUUUUGUGCUGUUGGUAGUGAGACUGUACCUGGGCAACAUAGCAAGACCUUGGCUUUUUAAAAAAUAAAAAUAAUAGCUGCUUAUUCUC
ensembl:misc_RNA Metazoa_SRP Metazoan signal recognition particle RNA